UUUGUGGAGGGGAAACUGGGAAAGGGAAUAACAUUUGAAAUAUAAAUAAAUAAAAUACCUCAUUUUAAAAAGGUUUCUAAUCCAAUAUUCCACUGUUCGAACAAUUACUGAAAGCUCCCCAUUGGGAGCUCUCAGUAUCUUAGCCUUUGUCAUUUUUAAGAAUUGUUAAAAUGUCUUAAAAUGUAUACCACCACUUUCUUUGAACUACAUGUAUAUGUUUUUAUUUUUAGUCUGGUUUUCAUGCACAGAAGUGGCAUUAUCCUGGGUUUGUUCUGAAUAUGUUUUCUACUUCCGUGCUUUCUUGCUAUGUACUGUAUAUAUUAUGGAAUGCACGUUUUACAUGAACAGCUGUAGAGAACACAGUGUACAGCUGCAUGUUUAUUUGCAACACAUUUAUCGUGGUUAUGAGCAGUCAGGGUACUUGGCUAUGCCUUUGUGGGAGGAAAUAUUUACCAAUAGAGAUGAUGGACUAGAUAUUGAAGUUCAUGGCUUUCUUGUACUAUAUCCCAUGUUCAUUUUGGAUCAACAUAGUCUUAUCAAGUUUUAGUGUGGUUUAUUUGUCAUAGAUAUUGAUGGCUUAUGUGGCUAUUAGAAGCUGAUUAAAGAAGAACAUGACAAGCAAUUAUAAAAUAUAAAAUAUUCUUUUCAGCAUCAAAGGGAGACUGUGAAUAUUCCCCCAGAUUUUUAUGCAAUAAAGUAUCUAACAUUUUAAAAAGCCAAUUAGGGGAGCUACUUAACUGUUAAUUUGGAUUUAUGCCCCACUAAAUCAGUUUGCUUGCUAAUGUUUUCAAUAACAAUUGAUGGAAUGUGCAGUUUGUUGCAAUAAUCAAUAUUCAGUAGAAAUGUACAAUGUAUUGCAAACUAACACCUGAUAGAUUGCUGUUGCAUACAUUUUCUUAAAUAGGUUAAAACUGAGCCAAAUUCUAUUAUCCCAAGUUUCAUUAAAGAAAUAUAUUUCAUGGAAGGGUUCAACAGAAAGUGGAGACAAUUUAAAAAUAGAAGUAUGUUCAGAAGGACAUUUCAAGUAAACGAUGUGAAUAAAGUGUCAAAAUAAGAACCAAUAGAACAUUCCAAAUUAUAAUUGCCUAAGUAAAGUACUAUUUAUUCUCUGGUUACAGAAGUGUAUGUAGCUCAAAACUAUUUGCAACUCUUUGUCUUUUCUGCCAUUAGUUACAAAGGACAUGAAAUAUAUCAUGUAUUCUUUUGUUCUCUGACAAUAUUUAUAAAUGAAAUAAAAAAGUUUGUCUGAUAGAGUUUCCAAUUGAUAAGUGAAGAGAUGAAUAGCUGGGAAAUAUGAACAAACAAUAAAUACCAGAUUAUAUGUAUGUGUCUAUUAGGUAGCAAGCUAGUAUAUAGUACCUUUAAUGGGGAAGUAAAGUGAAAUGCAGAUAUAUCUGACAUAGUAGGAGUGAUGAGACUGCGAUUCCAAGACGGGUGAUAUUUUCAGGUGUUUCUGAGCCACACUGCUUCAGAUAUUAUAAACAUGAAAACUUAGAUAAUUAUUAAAGUUAUCUCUUGGCCACAACUACCACUUUGUUACUUAGACAUUGAGAUACAUUUUAACAAUAAGCACAGAUAAGCUGAAAUUGCUAGGUUUUAUCUUUGAACUCACAGCAAAAUUAUUUGUUUCUUGCAGUAAAAGGAACCUACAUUUUAAUAACUGUGAAUUGCAAUAGUAGAUAAGGGCUACUUCAACUUUGUCCUUAUGAAAACAAAAACAGAAUCUGGGAGGUAAACAUUUAUGUGAUGAGGCAGUUUAGUUUUGCCUAUGUCUAUUGGUGAUAAAAUUAGUACAGAUCUGGAGCAAGUGAUUGCUUCACCGCACCUGGCAGGGGUUAGGAGGGAAUGUCCCACCUUGGAACAGAAUACUCUUUUCAGAGGCUGCCAUUUAGGAGACAACAGAAAGGAGGGUAACAUACAGAUUCUGCCUUCUUGGCUUUACCACUUUCUAAGUGACAAUAAAACAGAACUCAAAUCCAGUGUUCUACUCAGUGGACUCUACCUCAAAAUAGUACCUUUCAGUAUUUAUCAAAAUAUAGUAGCACUCCUGUUAGGGGAAGAAACAUUAGAUACAGACGGUCAGUUCAUCUCAAAGGAACCCAGAAGCAUGAAGUUUACUUUAGGCUACACAGAAUUCAGGAAACAUAACAUUGCAUGUAGUUCAUUCUCAUUUGAAAAUAUUUCCCCAGGGCUUGAACAUUUCCUAGGCAGCCAUAUUUGCCAGCUGUUUCAGUGAGACCUGGGUCUCAAGUCAGUAAAAUAAAGCCUAAUAGGGGAAGACACAUGGCUUCCUGUUCUGAUCACUGCCCACCACAAUUGGGUGUGGGCAUCUGAAUUCUUACUCACAUAAUCAAUGGACAUUUAUCACUCAUACACACAGACUUUGUGUGUGUGUGUGUGUGUGUGUGUGUGUGUGUGUGUGUGUGUGUCUCCCACUGACAUGUGUACAUAUUGAAGUGAAUACUUAUUUAAAGGUAGUUAAGUUUUUCAUGUACUUUGUAUUAUGUUCUAUAUAACUCUAACCAAGAAGGGUAAAUAUCUAUUAUACAUUAUGUAUUAUAUAUUGCAUUUUACAUGUUAUAUAAUACAUAUAUAUAUACAUUAUUUACAUACAGGUUUGGAAAAAAGGUGAUGUGCAGCUCCAUGAUGAAAAAGUCAGAUUCCUCAAAUUUAAGAAAAAAAUAUCACACCAUGUCCCUUAUGCCAAGUUCUAGGUUGAAUUAUCACUUGUUAAAAGCACAUUUUCAUGACUCAGAUUUGUAUACAAAAUUCAUGACAUAGAAAAACAAAAUGUCUACUUAUAAAAUUGACUGUUUUCAUAUAAGCAAAUAGAUAGCUAAGAAGCAAGUGUCAUAGGAAAUACUUUAAUGCUAGUAUUUUCAACUUACAUCUUACUUAAAUUGUUCUAGACUAUCAUUUACUGAAAAUGUAAACUUGCUUUAAUGACUUUAUUUAUCUCCGCUGACACGAAAUUCUUUAUGACAGUUAGACAACUUUAACUAUUGAAAACAAUAAUCUUCCUUUUUACCUUAUCUUGAGUCUCAGCCAAACUACCACAGUCAUGACAAUUCUCCUUUGUGUUCUUUCAUUCUUUUUUAACUAUAAUUUGUCUAAUUUUUCCUUCCUCCACAAUUUUGAUGUUGACAAUUCAUUCAUUAAUUUUCUCUAUUAGUAAAUACUAAGUAAGAUUCCUGUAAAGCAGACAAUAAUAUUUUGUUUCACUUUACUUUACAUAGCAGCCGUACUGGAAUUUAUACUCUUGGGGAGACUAAGGUCAGGUAGACCACCGAGCAAAUAAGUUAUUAUUAAAAGACACUGAGAUAGUGAUAGUGAAUUAGUGAAGUAAAGGAUAAAAAAGUGAAACAAAUUCAACUAAAAUUGACCUACACAAAUACAAUAUACUUUUGGUCCACCACACUUAAAAUGAGAGUUAGUGUUGGCUUCAUACAAAGUGUUAUGGAGACACAGAGGAGAUUCUGACAGCUACCUUUAUGAACAUACUGAAGAUCCGACGGGAACAUUUCAUAAAAGAGCUAUUGAGCACAGAAUAUGGUCAGCUGAAAAUAAGAAGAAACGACACUAAAGACAUAUAUCAAAUGAUGCACGUGAUGUGCAAAUUAAAGAAAAUAGGCAGGAGGAGGAAGGGAAAGAGAACAGAGUGGUGAUGAAGGUAAGGAAAAGGCAUGAUGGAGGUGGUGAAAGAUAUAAAGGUCAUGUAAGGAAAAGAGACUGAGGGUGGAGAUAGAAUGGGAAGAGGUACAGCCAGGAGAUCAGAGUCACGGUGGAUAAAAGUAUCACCAAGACAUAGUUUGUUUUUUUUUUUAAAUCUCAUAAUAGCAUCUAAUACCUUGAACGCUAAAAUUAUUAAUUUUAAGAACAGUGCAGAAUGUGGUAUUUUGGUUCUAUGGUGCUCUUCUCUCUGGUGUUUAGUGAUCUCAUUUUUAUCCAUCUUCCUGCCUGAAGUUUAUUUUUGCUUUUCUCUUUUCAUUGUAGCCAAAGGUUCUCUAUGCUUGGCUUCUCCAGCCCUCUAAUGCUGGAAGGAUGUGGUUCUACUCAGUACUAGACAGAUAUCUUUCAGGUUAUUCCACAGCUACAUUUAGUUGAUCAGGCAGACCUUCUGACAUAGAAACUUUAGAUGAGAGAGGAUACGAACAAAAUUGAAAUGUAUACUAUUUCAGGGAACAAAUUCUGAUCCUUUCUCUGAAGAAAUGCCCUACUACCGAAUUUCAGCCUUACUUCAAGUGAGGAUUUGAUAACUAUUAAAUUACAACCUGUAUCAUGGCCAUCAUUACGAUGUAAUUGUAUGCACGUAUUUGAAAUAAUUGACUUGAUUCUCAAGCAAAUGGUAAAUUAGAUAUCUUGCAAAAAAAAAGUACUUGACAAGUACAUGGGCCCGCUGAUUGCUUUUAUACUAAACCUUUCUGUGGAUUGCAUUCUUAUAAGUAGCUGCUUUGGGUGGUUGCUGAUUUUAAUGGAAGAUAUCUGUCUUUCACUAAGUCAACUAGAUCUGCAAUCAAUACAAAGCUUAAGCUUUAUAUGUCCAUCCUCGUAAAGAUAUAGAAAUUUAUUAAGAAUAAUAAAGUAUGACUUAAUGACUCUUGGGAAUCCCUCAGAGUUUGUUAAUAAGCCUCCUUUUCUUUUCUGAUAGUAUUAACAUGGAUAUUUUCUGUCUUUCAGUUUGGUUAAUGGUUUGUCUAUCUUGUCGAUUUUUCUCAAAGAAGCAAAACUUCAUUUUAUUGAUUCAUUGUAGUUAUCUUUGUUUCUAUUGUAUUGAUUUCAGCCCUCAAUUUAAUUAAUUCCUGAUGUCUGUUCUUACGCCUAUGACCUAAGUCCUCUUGAUAUACAUUAUAAUUGUGUAACUUUGUGUUGGAGCAUUGUCUCCUCUGUUGUUCAGUGACUCUAUUUAGAUUUCUUUUGGGUGAGAAUGUAUUUUAAGAAGGCUCCAUUGAAGUAGGUUUCUUCAUAACCCCUCAAACAGAACUUAUUGUUAGUUUCCUUUCCCUAUAUUACCUUUCCUACCCUCCAUUCUUCCCUCCUCCUCCUCCUGAUUUAAUCCUCCUGUUGCAUUAUUGCUCCAUAAAUAUAUAUUCUAUAUUUCUUCCUAGAAAGAUUCCUCCUGUUAAACUUUUACUCAAUACCAUCCUUUGUGCUUACAGGGUAUGUAUCAUGCCUUUCAAAGACUUUAACUACUACUUUCAGAAUAUAUAACAUGCUUUGGAUAUUUUUUUGGGGGGUGGGUUUUUUUUUAUUUGGGUUUCUUUUAUUAGAGUUCUGAAUUAUCUCACUCUUUUACCUGCAAGAUUAACAACUUUAUUAUUUUCAAUAGCUGAAUUAUUGUCAUUGUAUAAAUAUAUCACAAUUUUGUUAUCUAUUCAUCUGUUGAUGGCAACCUAAGAGAUUGUAGUUACUGGCUAAUUUGAAUAGAGCAGAAGUGAAGAUUGAUAUACAAGGGUCUCUACCUUGUCAUCAAGCCCUGCUGUUCUGAUUUUACCAUGAUGCACUUUAAAGGAAGCUUUUCAUUUAAUCUAUUUUGUUAAUAUUAAAGAAGAAAUAAUACUAGAAAUUGUAAUAAACAUACUCAAGCACAAUCUUGAGACAUUCUUUGAUAUGUUUCCCUUUACUCAUAAAAUGAGAACAGAGUAUAACUGUAUAAUUUUACAAUUAGAAAUAUUUGAAAUGAAUAAUAUUAAAUUUUCAUUGGUUAUUUUAUUUAUUUAAACUUCAAAUGUUAUCCCUCUUCCCAGUUUCCUCUCCAAAGCCCCCUAUCCCUCCUCCUUCCCAUCUGCCUCUGUGAGGGUACUCCCCCACCUGCCUACUCAGUCCUGCCUCAAUGGCCUGGCAUUCUCCUAUCCUGGAUCAUCAAGCCUCCAUAGGACCAAAGGGCUUCCCUCCCAGUGAUGUCAGAUAAGACAACACUCUGCUAUCUAUCCAGCUAGAGCCAUGGGUACCACCUGUGUACUCUUUGGUUGGUGGUUUAGUGCCUGGGAGCUUUGGGGAGGUCUGGUUGGUUGAUGUUUUUCUUCCUAUGAGAUUUCAAACCCCUUUAUCUUCUAUACUCCUUGCCCUUAUUUUCUCCACUGGGGUCUCCACGCUCAGUCCAAUAUUUGAUUCUGUACAUCUGCAUAUGUAUUGCUCUGUCUCUUGAAGAGCAUCUCAGUGGUCAGCUAUACUGGGCUCUUGUUAGUAAAGCAUUUCUUGGCAUCAACAAUAGGGUCUAGGAAUAAUAUUAAAAAUUAAACAAAAUAAUUCUUUACGAAAGAUCCAUUUGUUCACUGGAAGUUUUUUUCUGUAACAUUUCUGAACGUUUAAAGAAGAAUACUUAGUACAUGAAACAAGAAACUAAAUGUCUUAGUUGGCUUGUCCUAUUUAGAAAGAGUAAACUAGAAACCACCUACACGGAUUCUAUCAAACCCUUCUAUUGAGAGUGGGAGAUUAAGCUCAGUUUCUUCAGUACUGAAAUAAAAUGGUAAUAGAAAGAAAAGCCAAGUAGAGAAAUAAAGACAGAUGAGCCCAGAGAGGUUUUGGUAAUUGGAUUUUUACUGCCCCCGAUGGCACAUGGUGCAAUAGCACAUAAUUAGUAUAUCUAGUAAAUAAAUUAAUGACAAGGGGAUUUCGUCAGCAAUGGUCUCUCACAAAUAUUGCCUACCAGGGAAAACGAAGUCAGUUUUCCUUUAUCAAACUUCCACUAAAUGACACUUUUUUAAAGGAUUCAGAAAAAAGAAUGAAAAGGUGAAAUCACAUUAUGCAGAUCUGAUCUGAAUAUAACAGUAAUAUUUUAGAUCAAUGAUACCAAACUUGUACCUGAAGUAAAAAUGGAGAUUCGACAAUCUGAAUAAAAGAAAAGAGAGAGAAAAAAGAAGACCUUUCCCUGAAAUCUGAGCUGCAAUUAAAGUUUUGUGUUAUUGGAAGGAUACAUAUAGACAAUACAGUGCUCCACGUAUUUUCUCUUCUGCAAAUCUUCAUCAGAGUAUGGGUUUCUCUCCUUAGUCUAUUUGUUCUUCAAAAACAAAUAAACAGAAUGAGGUCAAGUAUAGAGUUUGUUAUAUAUUCUACAGGCAGUAAUUCUGUCAAAAUAAAUCUCCCAAGAAAAGUCAGAAUCUUAGGAAUGCUAGAAAAGGUGAAGAUUUGAGAAGGCCCAAAAACACAGCAGCAAUAAUCUUCGGACUAAUAUGGGCAUAUUUGCCAUUUGCAACUGAGAGCACUGUAGGAGAGAAAAGAGCACGCAGUUGUGCAUGUUUUGCCUGAGGAGCAGUGACCCGUUUCCUGUCUGCUCUACCCAUUUCUCAUACUCUGUACCUGCCCUUUGGAUAUUUUUAAAAUUACAAUUCAAAUGUUAUCCCAUCUCCCGGUUUCCUGUCCAUAAACUCCCUAUCCCAACCCUCCUACCACAACUUCUAUAAGGGUGUUCUCCCACCUAACCACCCACCCCGUCCCUCCUCCCAGCUCUGAUAUUCACCUACACUGAGGAAUCCAGCAUUUGUAGGACCAAGGGCUUCUCCUCCUAUUUGUACCCAACAAGGCCAUCCUCAGCUACAUAUCCACGUGGAGCCAUGGGUCCGUCCAUGUGUACUCUUUGGGUAGUGGCUUAGUCACUGUGAGCUCUGGUUGAUUAGUAUUGUUGUUCUUAUGGGGUUGCAAACCCCUUCAGGUCUUUCAAUCCUUUCUCUACUCCUGCAGUGGGGACCCCAUUCUUAGUUAAAUGGUUGGCUGCUAGCAUUCACCUCUGUAUUUGUCAUGCUCUGGCAGAGCCUCUCAGGAGACAGCUAUAUCAGGCUCCUGUUAUCAUGCCCUUUUUGGCAUCAGCAAUACUCUCUGGGUUUGGUGGCUGUAUGUGGGAUGGAUCCCCACGUGCAACAGGCUCUGAAUAGCCGUUACUUCAAUCUCUGCUCCAAACUUUGUCUCCAAAUCUCCUUCUAUGAAUAUUUUGCUUCCCCUUUUAACAAGGACUAAAGAAUCGGCACUUUAGUCAUUCUUCCUUUAUUUCUUCCUCGACCUAGUUAUCAUUGAGUAGAGCAUUGUUCAACUUCAAUAUGUAUAUGGACUUUCAGUUGUAUUUGUUGUUAUUGAAGAGCAGCCUUAGUCUGUUGUGAUCUGAUAAGAUGUAUGGGAUUAUUUCCAUCUUCUUUUAUGUUUUGAGGCCUGUUUUAUAGUCAAUUUUGGAGAAGGUACCAUGAUGUGCUGAGAAGAUGGUAUAUUCUUUUGUUUCAGGAUGACAUGUCCUGUAAAUAUUUGUUAGAUACAUUUGGUUCAUAAUCUCUUUUAGUUUCUCUGUGUCUCUGUCCUGUUUCUGUUUCCAUGAUCUGUCCAUUGAUGAGAGUGGGGUGUUGAAGUCUCCCACUAUUAUUGUUUGAGGUGCAAUAUGUGCUUUGACCUUUAGUAAGGUUUCUUUUAUAAAUGUAGGUGCCUCUUCAUUUGAAGCACAGAUAUUCAGGAUUGAGAGUUCAUCUUGGUGGAUUUUUCCUUUGGUGAAUAUGAAGUGUCCUUCCUUAUCUUUUUUGGUAACUUUUGGUUGAAAGUAGAUUUUAUUGGAUAUUAGACUGCCUACUCCAGCUUGUUUCUUGGGACCAUUUGCUUGAAAAAUUGUUUCCCAUCCUUUUAAUCUCAGGUAGUGUCUGUCUUUGUCACUAGGCUGUGUUUCCUGUGUGCAGCAAAAUGCUGUGUCCUCUUUCUGAAUCCGGUCUGUUUGUCUAUGUCUUUUUACUAGGUAAUUGAGUCUUUGAUGUUAAGUGAAAUUAAGGAAUAGUGAAUGUUGUUUCUUGUUACUUUUGCUGUUAGAGGUGGAAUUCUGUUUGUGUGUCUCUGUCAGAAACUUUGUUGCUGUUGUUUUCUUCCCUUUCUUUUGAAAAAGACUGAAAAUGCAUAGAAACCUGUCAACAAGGUUUUAAACCUGUAGCUGUUUAAAAGCUUGUGGUCCCGUACCUUCCUCAUUUCUAGGCAUUUGGAAAACAUAAGACAGAGUUCACGGACUUGGUGGAGGAAAGAGUGUGAAACAAUGGGCAGAGGAAUGAGGUUCUUCCGGCCUGAAGCACUCAAAGCAUGAGGUACCCAUGCCGUACUAAACCCCUAAAAGUGACUGCAUUGUCAUUAGAAGGCCUCGAGUUAUCUUUUCAAAGUCAGAUGAUGAUAACCCUGACCUCAUGUUUUUUCUCCUUUAUACAUAAAGUUUGACUAAUUUUGUUUUUAGACAAAAGAUUAAAAAACUAAUGAUGAUAGUAAUAAUAACAACUAUUAUUAAUAUAAAUAUGCAGAAUAUGCCUAAAUAAACUUGCUGAAAAUGGUCAUUGGAGUAAUAUAUUGCCUUAAUUUUUUAAAUAUUUUAAAUAUUUUUGUAAUUAAUCACAGAACAGAAAUAUGUUCACCUGUAGGUUAUAUGUGAGUUUGUAUAUGUCAGUCUUCCAUCACAGUAGUGAAGCCUCUGCUGUGCUUAAGGCUAAACUCUUAUAAUUUCAGUUACUAUAAAGGAAAUUGGCAUAGACUUGUGACCUCCUCAUGUACAUGAAUGGGCAAGCAUACCCAAGUAUACCCAAUAUAUAAACAUAUGUAUAUACAUAUGCACACAUGCACGCGCGCGCGCGCGCACACACACACACACACACACACACAGAGAGAGAGAGAAAGAGAGAGAGAGAGAGAGAGAGCGCAAUAGAAAAAAGCAAGAGAAAGGAGUUCAACAAAAAUUAUCUGCAUCAACAUAAGAAAUAAAUCUGUUUCUUCAUAAAUGUUUAUGUGUAUAAGGAAACCCAAAUUGCAUAAUGUUUCACAUCAAAAAUAUGUUCUAUUAAAGUUUUAAGACUUCAUGUAAUAAGUUUUAAAGGAUAUGAAUAAUUAAAUGAAAACUUUGAAAUACAGUUGUAUUAUUCACAUUAGAUUGUAUAUAAUUUAAUAAUAAAUCAUGCUUAAUGAGAGUGGUUCAAGAAUAAAAAUCACAUGCAGAUAAUAUAAUAGCUGUAUUUCUGGUUUUUAUUAUGGUUUGCAUAGUUAUAAUAUUUAUCUUACAUAGUGAAAAUUGUUGUUAAUGAAAUAACAUUCUGAUACCAUGUAAAAUAUUCUUUAAUCCAAGAAUUUUCGCACUGAUAUUUAAGCACCAAAAUUACAGUUCAGUGGAUCAGAGAGGUACGUUCGUAAUUUAGUGGGAAAAUGCAAAUUCCCAUUGCAUAUGCUUUGGCAAAAGUAGAUUCUAAGUAAUAGUAUGAACAAUUUGAAGUGUUUGUGAUUUAUUCUUAGAAAAUAACUUUCUAUUAUUUGUUCUUAAUUUGCACACAUGUUUUGUAGGGAGAAAUUCUACAUUGUGAUAAUAAAGAAAAACAAUUGUAACUUGCAUCCUUUCAUAAGAGAAAUAAUUGCUCUCAUAAUCACCCAUCUCUGUAAAUGAAGAGGGAAUUCAUAGGGCAUUCAAUUUGUAGAUAAAGCAUUAGUCAAUAUUAGUUUAUAUUCUGGCUGUUCACACACACUAUAUGGGCUUACAUCUUUCUAAAGAUAAAUUAAAAUACUUGCAGCAUAUACAUGGAUAUAAAAUACUAUUAAAGUGAAUAUUCAAUUCCACUAAGUAUACAGUCCUGUCUGCCUGACUGUCUGACAGACCCUCCUAUAUUUCCUGUUGGAUCAACAGCUGUUGUAAUAUUAUUAUUCUACAUGAUCUUCAAUUUAACAAAGGAUGAUUCAGGAACUUAUAUUUCCUCUUUAUUGAUAGAUAAGGAACUAAGGAAAUGCAGCAUCCAAUAUUAGAGUGUCGCUGUUGAAUUUCAAGGUUGGUAAUUGUGCAGAACUAAUGUCCGUGGUUGGGGUGUGUGUGUGCGAGCUAUGCAUAUGUGCUUAUGCAUUUUAAUUUGAGGGAUUUAUGGUGACUGCUCACCUGUGUUUUCAGUAUUUAAAUAUCUGCACAGAUGGAUCAUCCGGGUGUUGCAGAUGGUUUAUUUGAAUUGCAUGUUUGGAUCGUUAAUGUGGUGUAUAAACUUCAAGACCACGCCUUCUCUCUAGAAUAUCUGAAUAUUUAUGGAAUUAAAUCUAGUUGUUUCCUCUAAAUGCAAUAAUCUAGUUAUCAUUUUGAAAGCAUUUCUAUCAGAGAUAAUAAAUAGUUUGCUUUAUCUACUCUGCAUAUGUAACUGAACAGAUGGAAAUGUUCAACUGGUUUAUAUUUUGAAGCAACAACUUUCAUGGGUGUUGAGGAAGAUUUAGAAAAAGAAAUUUCAAUCAAGUUAAGUAAAGGAGAAGUAGAUGUUGGUUUCCUUUUUCUAUGGUGAUUUAAUUAAGAUUUACCCAAAUAAUUAAGUCUUUCCAUAUCUCUAUGAUACUUUGACUUUAUUGAAUGAUUUGCAGUGUUCAAAGACCACAUUUAAUUUUCCUUCCACAUGUGUUUCUGGAAAAGCAAUUUAGGAAAAUAUCUUUAUCUUUGAACAUAGUUCUAAGAUGGUUUAUUGCCAACCUGUUCUAGCAAUGCUAUAAAAAGCAUUAAGAUGGCAUAAAUUUCUCAGAUUACAUAUUUAGCUGGUCUGUGGAGUAACAGAAUGCUCACACUUGCAUUGGAAAUACUUAUUAAUUAUUGACAUAAAAUGGUAGGCAGUGCAAAAGCUGAAAUGCUUAAAUGAAUUUAGAAAUAUUACAUUUUCCAAAACAAAAUGCUAAAGUAUUAUUACACCAUAUGUUGAGAUGAUCAUAGCAUAUAAUGGAAAAAUUUGAGAAAAAGUUUUGAACCUUCCUUUGUAAGACCUUCCUAUAAGAAACAAAUUAGUAGCUUGUUUCCUAGUUAAUGGUCUAAAGGUCGAUUUAAUUUUGGUAGAUUUCAUUUACGGAAGAUUUGACAUAUUUCAAACUGCUGUGUGAUUUCCAGAAAGAACUGAAUAUGGAAUAGAGAGUCUCAAUCAUCUCAGAAAAACAAGAAAACAAUUAUGGACUAAUUCUCCUUAAUAGUUAUACAUAAAGCAUUCAAAAAUGAGCAGACGGGAAUCUAAUUUGUUUUUCUAAUUAUUAUAAUUAACCAGGGAACGUUUUAAGUGUUUUCUUUUAAGUUUACAAAUAAAUGUGUGUCUCUUCUUCUCUUCAGAGUUUGUUGAGGUGUGGUGCUUAUUGUAGGACUGUGCAGGACAGCCUUUAGCAUACUUCUGCAUGUCAGCUAAAUAUCACUGACAGAAGGGUCACAUUAUUAAGAAUAUGAUAACAUUCCGACUUGGUACAUGCCUUUAUAUCUGUAUAUCACUUUUGCAAGACAAUUAAAAACAUCUCUCUUGAGAAGGAACUCAGAUCAACUCAGGAUGAAGUGAGAGAGAAUACUCAAAUGAAAUAAAUUUUUAUUCCCCCAUGUCAUCUAAAAUAUGUUGUAAGCACUCCAGCAAUCCCUGAGUGACCAAGAAAGCACAGAGUUGACUAAUAUUAACUGUGUGGCACCUUAGGAGCUCGAGUUAUGCCGAUGUCAGCUCUUAAUUAGUGCAGCUCCACACUGUGAAGGAGAUUUAAAAACAAUGGGGCAUCAUUAGUGGACAUUCAUAGUACAAUAUUUUGCCAACUUACGAAAUGUCUGUUUAUGAGCCAUCCACAGGGUCCCACUAAAAAGAAAGCAAUUUCUUAACUCCUUUGGUAGUCUGUGAAGUAAAACUUCAGCCGCAGGCACCAUCUUAUAAAAAGAAAUGGAGAGAAAACAUAAGAUGCAUGCCUACUCGUGGACAGAUCUGUGAUUGCUGGUAAGCCGGCCAUAGUGUAGAGCAGACUAAGUCACUGCCAGUUCAGGUGAGGAUUCUGUUCUGGACUGGCAAUUUGAAGCCUGCCAACUACCUUGCUUAAGAAGGUGAGUGUUUAAUGUUGCCAAAUAUUUGAUUUAUGGGGGUUUCAGAUUAAUUUCAAGAGGAAUUACGAAGUGAAUGACUUUAAAAAAAUCACAGUCGCGUGUGCUGAGAGCAACCCAUGCAGAGGUUCACAAUGUUGGAUAGCUGGAGUCAGUGAUCCCUACUGUGAUGUGAUCUUCCAUUUUUCUUAGCUGUUUAUUUUAACUGUACUUACAAAGCACAACAUAUCUGCCUUGAGAAGGAACUGCAGGUAUGAACAGGAGACUGCGUGUACAUGUAGAUGCUACUUAUUGUACAAAAAUUAAGAUAUGAUCUGUCAUCUCUAUAGGUGAUGCAGAAAACAAUUUAUAUAGUAGAAUUGAAAAUGUAAAGGCAGUGGCACUUUUAUUGGAUAACAUGGAAGCUCCUUAUGACUUAUUGUAAUAACAAUGUCACUCUUCCCCAUGGAAUAUGCACAGUGCUCACAUCAGGGAUUUUAGUAGUACUCUUUCCUUCCCAUAUUAUGACUGUCUGUAAGAUGAUUAACUGUAAAUAAUAUUGCUACUAUUAUAUUUUUACAGGAUUUACAUUAUUCAUCAUAUGCAUGGUUGUAUUGAAAUAGAGUCCUUUUGUAAAUAAAAGAAUGAACAUUUAUACUAAAAUGAAAUAAUUAUCAUCAGUUACAAAAUAUAAAGUGUUUAGAAUUAAAUUAAUUUCCUUUAGCUUGUUCUUCAUCUAUUGGAUUGUUCUCAAGCUCGAGAACAUAAAAGAGAAUCAUAUACUAACUUCUACAUUUGACAUGAAAUAUGGAUAAUUAAUCUUAAUGUCUGUUUGAAUGAAUAGGUAUAUUUUUCAAGGUGCAUUUAAAUGACAUAAAACUGGAUAGCUGACUCACAUUCAGAUUUAUCAAACUCUAAACAUGAAUUUAUCUAAUCUAAUCUAUAUACAGAUAUAUACAUAUUUAUUAAUAUAAAUAUAUGUAUUUAGGAAUAGAAUAAACUAUUGUAUAAAAUACUGGUAUCUCUUAUUCUUACAUUAUUUAGUUUCUUUUGAAAUAUUUGAUAUUCAUGUAUCAUUGUUCCUGUCAUCAUAAAUUAUAAAUGUAUGUAUUAUAUAGACGUAGGUAUAAGUUAGGAAUUCUACAAGGUUUCCUAACCUCCCUCACACACACAGUCCAUUAAUAAAGAACAUAUACCUAUUAAAUAUUUUCUGUGAAAUUGAUAGUUUAAGGUUGUUAUAUACUCCACAGCUAGGAUUUUUUUAAAGCUUUCACAAUGCAUAAAUCUUGAAAGGACAUGUCAACUUCUUAGACUCCAGUAUUCAUGGAGUUAUAGAUAUUUACAUCUCUUAAUUUUUUCUUGGGAGAUCUUAAAUGAUGGAUUAUUUAAUAUCCAUUAUGCAAAGCAAGUCACCCUGUUCUAACAUUCACCUGUCCAUCAUGCUCACUUUCAACUUUAUUCUUACAUAAGAAAAAAGAAAUCAGUUUAGCAGGGCAUCUUCUAUAGCAAGCAGCCUAACCAUAACUUUUGUGAUCAUCCUUAGUCCUGGAGAUGCAUCUGUGCCUCGACUAGACAUUUCCCAAUAAAUCAAAUAUCCACACUUUGUAAAACAAAUGGGGCUUUACAAAAUCAGGUAAAUUUUUUAUACAGCAUCAAACAGAUCAGAGAAAAAUAAAGUACAUCACAGUGAAAAUAAAAGAAUAUUUUAUUAAUUAGAUAUGCUUUCAAACAGGGUGGAGAAGAGGGUUAUCUGUUAAUUGAUCUGCAUUGCACCAGGGAAAUGUAGAGAAGAAUAUCAUGUUUAUGCAGCUGAGUGGUUGACAUUACUCUUUUAAAAGUGAGAAUAAUUGAGAUAAGGAAGAAAACAUGGAGAGGAGCUUAGACCACAUUCCAUAGAUGAGGAGACCAUGAAUCACCACUAGAUAGAACAGAAUACUGGCUCGGUAAAAUAGUAGUAAACUGUUUUAUUGGAUAUAUUUUUAUUUACAUUUCACAUGUUAUCCCUUCUCCUUUUCCCCCCUCUGGAAACCCCCAUCUUUUCCCCCUCUCCCUGUUUCUGUGAGGGUGCUCCCCCACCCACAAUCCCAUUCCUGCCCACCCACCUUGUAUUCCCCUACACUGGGGUAUCGAGCAUUCACAGGACCAAGGACCUUUCUUCCCAUUGAUGCCACACAAUACCAUCCUCUGCUACAUAUGUGAUUGGAGCCAUAGAUCCCUCCAUGUAUACUCUUUGGUUGUUGGUUUAGUCCCUGGAUGCUCUUGAGUGUUUGAUUGGUUGAUAUUGUUGUUCUUCCUAUGGGGUUGCAAAUUCCUUCAGUUCCUUUAGUCCUUUCUCUAACUCCCAGUGCUAAGUUCAAUGGUUGGCCGUGGGCAUCCACCUGUUUGCCAGGCUCUGGCAGAACCUCUCAGGAGACAGCUAUAUCAGUCUCUAUCAACAAGCACUUGGCAUCUGCAAUAGUGUCUGGUUUUGGUGCCUGUAUAUGGGAUGGAUCCCCAGGUAAGAUGUGGGAGAAGACAGGGAUGAUACACAGAGGGUAAGGAAUUUAAACAGAGGCAUAAAGCAAUGGGUGAUGAGGAACUGGGUGUAGCCACCAGCAAGUCCCAGAUGCCAGGAAUGCAAGAGUCUCCCAGAGCACAACAGGCAUGAGAUUAGCUGAAAUGUCCAAUAAAGGGGAGAGAGAACCUUUAGAGACCAUAUCCAGAGGUUAGGCAAGGCCCUCUGUUGAGGGAUGGGGCCACCCAAUCAUCUCCAAAUUUUUACCCAGAAUCUCUCCCGUCUAAAGGAAAUAGGGAGGCAAAGUGUGGAGCAGAGACUGAAGUAAAGACCAUUAAGAGGAGUAAACUUUAACGUUAAAGUAAAAUUGAAGAAACAGAGAUGUUUCCUCUGCAGACAAGAGAUGUUACUGUUGUUAAUGUUGAAAAAACAUGAAAUGGGCUCUGGCAGAGGAAUUGCCUUUUAUUUGUAGCACCUGUACUCAGCAGUUGACAGCUGCCUGUCGAUCCAAUUUCGGUGACAUCCAAUGCUUCUGCCUUCUAUCAACACUCGCACACUUGAACUCAAGUAUAUACAACUAAAAAUAAUAGAAAUAGUCUUUAAAAUUCAUGGAGAACUUUGACAUGUGAAGUGGAGCUCCUGAAGAAACUAUUAUUGAAUGGCUUCCGACUAGUUGGGAGAGAGAAUUGCAGUAACACUUUUCUGUCAUUGCCAGUAGUUCCCAAGGUGAUGAGAAACUCCUAGGAAUAACAUGUAGAAACUCCUUCAGCUGUUAGCUCUGUUCUUGAGAAAGUUCAACAUUAUCCUCUCCAUUUGCUUAUCAAAUAUAUUUAUAAAUAUAACAAGCAGAUUAUUCUUUCAUAUAAAACAAAAGGCCUUACAUGAAAAUUAUCAGACUACAACAUAUUAUAUGCUAUACCUGUCCCCAAAAUAGACCCUAUUUUGAAAGUAAUUCUAAUUUUUCUACACUUGAUUUAGUUCCCAAAUAAAGGCAUGGACAUCUGGCAUUUAUUUAAAAAUAUUUGCAUUAUACCCAAUAACAUGCCACAUUACCUGCCCUCAGUCUUUCCCUGGCUGAUCCUGCCCCAUCCUGUGUCAUAGUAACUCUUUCUCUCAUGAAUCUCUUGUGGGUCCCCAGUUGCCACUUGCUUGGCUGAUCAACUCUUUAUUAACUAAUAAGAGGUAAAACAAUUUUUACAUUAAAACUUCCAAAUUACUUGCACCUCUAUUGAACAGAGUAUACGUCAUUAAGAAACUAGUAGUUGUUUCUUCGAGGGCUGCUCUUUACUGAAGGGAAAGGGAAGAGCAGUGGAUUGGGAGGAGAGAGGAGAUAGAAGAGAGCUGGGAGAGAGGAGUGGAGGUAGAGGAAACCGUGGCCAGGAUAUAUUGUAUGAAGGAUCAGUUUUCAUGGGGGGGGGAGAAAGAGAGAGAGAGAGAGAGACAGAGACAGAGAGAGAGACAGAGACAGAGAGAGAGACAGAGACAGAGAGAGACAGAGAAAGAAAGAAAAUUAAGAGAGAGAAAGAAAGGGGGAGAGACAGCAGUGGGGGAGGGAAAAAGGAGGGAAAGAAAGAAAGAAAGAAAGAAAGAAAGAAAGAAAGAAAGAAAGAAAGAAAGAAAGGAAGAAAGAUAGAUAAAGAGAGAGGUCAUUCAUUAAUCUAUCUUUGCUUUGUUACCAGUUUGUUUUUGGAUAAAUAACUUCAAUUUAAUUCUAUUUAAUUUAAUUCUAUUUAAUUUAAUUCUAUUUAAACAUAAUUUAACACUUGAUACUAUUCAAAUUCAGUUAUAUCAACCAAUAUAACAUUGCCUCCAACAUUGUUAAGAUUUUGAAGACAGGAAUAGUUGAAACUAUUGAAAGCAAUAGUUUAGUCAAAUCUCUAAAUAGGCCUAGAUUUUUAGCUAUCUAGGAUGAGUACAUCCAAACAAGAUAGAAUGUGUAUAACUAAUUAUCUUAAGUAACCUACUAUUAUAACUCCCAAGCUGGAGAUACAAAGAGGCUAAUUGCAUGCUAUAAAUCAAAUCUUGAGAAGCUAUUUCUUCUUGUCUCAGAGUGCUUAUAUUCCGCAUGUUAAAAUAUUCUUAUCAAAAUCCCCAAACCAUAUGAUGUAGUUUCACAUAUACUGUGUCCAGACCAUCUUAAUCAGUUGGUCUAGAAUGGCUUUUCAUGUAUUAGAACCUCCACCACAGAGGAAUUCUUUCUCAAGUAGAUUCUAAUCCUACCAGCAGGGUCCUCGAAAAGUAUGAAAUUUGUCAGUAGUGUAUUAAUGACACAGUUGACUGUUUUUAUUUGAAUCCAUAAUGACUCCCAAUAGGGCUAAGUUUUGAAAUUUUUACUCUGGCUUAUGACACUGUUUUAUAAUCUAUGAAUCCUUUAGAUGAUUGCCUUUGUUGAGGAUAAUAGCUCUUGGAAGGUCACGCUGUCAAAAAUUAUAUUCUCCUCUUACUGAGGUCUAUUUUCUACUUCCUGGCCAGACCUUAUAUGUUUAUCUCCACCUUACAGCCUCAUCCCCAAGAACAGUCUCUUUUUUUUUCUCCAUGUUUUCUGCCUUUCUUGCUGUUUUUCAUUUACAUUUCAAUUGUUAUUCCCUUUCCUGGUUUCCCUGGACAUAAGCCCCCUAUCGCAUUCCCCUCCUCUUCUUCUGUAAGGGUGUUCCAAUCUUCAACCAACCCUCCUUCCCGCCCCCCAACAUUUCCCUACACUGUGGAGACCAGCCUUGGCAGGACCAAGGGCUUCUCCUUCCAUUGAUGAACCAGAAUAACUCCUUCCAAAUCAAGGUCAUCCUCUGCUACAUAUGCAGAAGGAGCCAUGGUUUGGUCCAUGUUAGUCUUUGGGUAGUGGUUUAGUCCCUGGGAACUCUGGUUGGUUGACAUUGUUGUUUUCAUGGGGCUGCAAGCCCCUUCGGAUUUUUCAAUCCUUUCUCUAAUUCCUUCAACGGGGAUCCCAUUCUCAGUUCAAUGGUUUGCUGUUAGCAUUUGCCUCUGUACAGAGUUUCUCUUAUUAUGUCCUUCCUGUUGGGCCACAAUUCGUGUGGACUCUGAAAUCAUUAGCCAAAAGAAAUCUUUCCUCACUUAAAUUGUUUCUCCCAGAUGUAUUGUCACAAGGAUGGAAAAAAUAACUGAAUAUAUUAGGCUUGUAUUAAUACAAAUAUAUGGUUGUGGGUAGCUGUAAUUCCAGAAUCUGAGGGGCAACAGCACAGAAGAUCUAAAGUUGGGGGUCAGCCUUGGGUGCACAGUGAGUGCCACGCCAAUAUUAGCAACAUAACUAAUAGAGAGAAUGCAUCUCAAACAAAAAUAGAUUUAUAUUAAUAUACUGCCUAAUACAUAGAAUAAUGUAAUUUGUCUUAAUCACAUCAGGAAGAGGUAGUCAUUAGCAGUGAUUCUGAGAAAGGAUUAAAAUCAGUUUUCCAUAAGAAUAUCUGCUCCCAGCUUUGAGUUCCUAGGACAGGAAUUUCAUAUCCUGCCUUUUAUCAGCACGCCCAUAGUUCUGGUGUUUAUUUGUAUAAGUUACUGUUACCUCACUAUUCUGAAAGUGGUGUUCCUCUCCUGUUUAUAUAUCAGGUAAUGACUAAUCAAAUACUUAAUGAACCAGGAUAACCACUUCCAAAUCAAGACAAAUGAGAAUGAAUAAUGUUCACAGACUGGUUUUAGUGUGUGUGUGUGUGUGUGUGUGUGUGUGUGUGUGUGUGUGUGUGUGUGUGUGCGCGCGCGCGCGCGCGCGUGCAUGCGCUGGUAUGCGAUUCUUUAAACAUUCAUUAAGCUUGGUGUUAUAAUAAAUGGUUAGAAAAUUUGAGUGUAACUCUUUUUACACUCAAAAGACUAAUAAGCUGCAUUUUUCUUAAUUCUCUACUAUAUAUUUCAGAGCUCUUUGAACUUUAUAAGAAAAAUAUUUAGAGAAUGUGUUGAUACUGAUAAUAUUCUUAAAUUUCAAGAGGUGAAUAUAAUUAUAGAAAAUAUGACAAAGUUGAAGUCUUUGAGGGACAGGAUCUUAACUCUUUGACAAAACAAAAAGAUACAAAGGUAAACAAAAUUUCUAAAUCCAAGGCAUACAUGACCUUAGUGCAUCUCGUUUAACUUUAUUUAAGUCUAACUGGAUGCUUUGCUCUGAAAAGAUACCAUGAACAAAACAGCGCUUAAAAAGAAAGCAUUUUUUAUCUUUUUUUUUUCGGGGCUGGGGACCGAACCCAGGACCUUGUGCUUCCUAGGCAAGCGCUCUACCACUGAGCCAAAUCCCCAACCCCCCCAAAUGCCUCUCAAAUAGCAAACAUUCAAAUGACUAACUAUCUUUUUUCGAAUAUCUCAAAAUCUCUUGUUGAGGCUUUCCUUAUUUAAGAUGGUUGGUAAUCAUUUUAUUUCAUUUUAAAGAAAUUUUGUCUUACACUCAUUUUUUUAUACUAGCUUAACUCUCAAUUGUAGGAUUUCAAUGUUUGUAGCAGAGCAGCAUAACCUUGUCGUACCCCCUUUGGGGCUGGAGACCACAAUCAGAAUGCAUUUCAACAUUUGCUGUUGUGUUCCAUAAAUUUAUGUCAAGGCCCUACAAUUCUCUCGUCUGACUUCUUGAUCUGUAACAGCUUCCAAGAUUGCUGCUUCUGUUAUUAUGUCAAAGGCUUUUCAAGGAACAUAAAUGGUACGCACAAUGGCUGAGAAAACCGGUUCAGCUUCUCCAUUUACAGAUUUAUGGACUGAAGAGUGCAGAGAAUAAAACAUCUUUUCAAUGCCACUCUAUCCUUUGGUUUGAUUCACUAUCCAGAUGACUACCUAGUUAAAAUUCAGAGAAAUAAAAUGCCCAUAGGCGUAUGAUUAACACUUUAUUUGCUUCCUGAGCCUCGAGGUUGCCUUUAACUCAUUCUGGUUUGUACCAAGAUUUUACAACUGAUUUAAAAUUAACCUUGAGGUCUGUAACUUCUAGUGGGACUUUUUUGAAAGGUAUAAUCAUUCUUUCAGUUUGCCAUCUCCCCUCAUGAUAACUAUUCAUAGAGAUUAAUAUGAUUUCUAUAAGCAAGUAGUAAUUAAUAUUUCCUAUAAAAUAAAUUCUCACAAAAUGAGGGUUUUUUAUAUAAAAUAUCAAUUCAAUACAAUUAUUACUGAAAAUUGAAAGUGUCAAAUCUUUUCCUUCAACUUAAAAGUGUCUGGAAUUUACAUCAAUAAAGUAGGACAUGAAGAAACAAUAAAAAGAUUUUAGCUCAUAAGUUUCCAGUUGCAGGGGUAAUAGCAAGCUUAACGGUUUCACUUGGGAAAACACCCAUUAGGGCAAGAGGUAGUUUGAGUAAGUGGGGCAUGAGAGAGGCAAGGGAUCUCAGGAAUCUGGUCACCAGUAGGGCUGUAGUUAGUAUGCAUGGGUUGCCGUGUGAUACCCACUGCAAGUCUUGCUAUUCAAGGGCUGCCAUCUACUCCUGGGUGGUUUAGGAUUGUUGACUAGACUAACCCAAACAUGAGACCCAUGGAAAACUGGAGGAAGGACUACACUGAGAUCAAUGAAAGUUUGGUUUGGCCGAUUUGCAUGUUAAUAGCAAAGGAGAUUUGUUUGCUAAGUACAGGAAUAUGACUAUGACGUGACUAACAAAGGCUGUAUUCAAGGAUCUGUGAAAUGCCAUUGACAAACUACAGUGUAAUAAGUAAUAUAGCUCUAGAGUGGUAAACACUCUAACAAAGGCUGUAAACACUCUAACAAAGGCUAUAUUCAAGGAUCUGUGAAAUGCCAUUGACAAACUACAGUGUAAUAAGUAAUAUAGCUCUAGAGUGGUAAACACUCUAACAAAGGCUGUAAACACUCUAACAAAGGCUGUAUUCAAGGAUCUGUGAAAUGCCAUUGACAAACUACAGUGUAAUAAGUAAUAUAGCCCUAGAGUGGUAAACACUCUGCAAUUAAUGCCAACAACAUCUCCAGAUGAUUUCUGUUUAUUUAUUUAUUUAAUGUUUAUGUACACUGUAUACUGUAUCUGUCUUCAGACAUACAUACCAGAAGAGGGCAUCAGAUCUUUUUAAAGGUGGUUAUGAACUACAAUGUGGUGGCUAGGAAUUGAACUCAGGACCUCUAGCUAGUCAGUGCUCUUAACUGCUAAUCUCUCCAGCCCUGCAAAUAAUCUUUAAGGUUGUUACUUAAAAUGGGAUUCCCAAUCUGUCAUAGUGACCACUGAUUACAGGACCAGUACAAGAAAUAGUAAGGUGCUUAGUUUCUUGUGCAUAAACUAUAAAUUUAAGAAGACAAUUAAAUCUAAGUAAUGCACUACCUGACCCACCAAAAAAGUCCAAAGGAAAAUAGAACUAGAAAAACAAUUAGUUUUUUUACACUUCUUUAUAACACAUAUUCAUUAAUUUUCUCAAUCACAUACCAAGUCAUAUGUGAAGUUCUUUCAUAUAAAGUUUUUGUUUUCAUUCUUGUUAUGCACACAAGUUUGUGUAUGCUAAACUGUUUGGAAAAGACCAUGUUCAAGGACAUGAGAAACUUGUCUGAAUCAUUCUCUUGGAGAAUGCCAAUGAAAGCCACAUCUACUAUUUCACUUCUUCUCUUUAUCCUUUCAUCCUGUGAUAUAUUGGCAAGGACUUAGUAUUCAUGGUUUUUUUCACAGCUGGAAAAGUUACCAUAAGAUUAUGUUUUACUGGCAUCUAGAAGCUUAUAGAAGUGAAGUACUUUGGAACAUUUUUCCUCACUACUAUCCUAUCAUUUCCAGACAGACCAGAAUCUACUUUGAUUGUUUAUUUACUCAUAUUAUCAGCCAUUGUGUUGUGACACGAGGGAGAGGAACACUGGAUGAAGAAUAACCUCAGAAUCAAGAGGGCCUAGGAAAGACACAUCUGCAGUGUUACUCCUCAGGCGAGCCACCAAGUCUCUACCUUCUAUGAUUUCACUGAGUUCUGUGGACAAGGUUGGGCAGUGAGACUCUGAGAAGGGUUACAGGUGGGUACAAGAGCUGUGCACAAAGAAACUAGAUUCUGUCAUAGAUUAAGUAAGAUGAGGAUACUGGAGCUCUACAAACACUACAUCUGAGAUGAGAAGCACUGCUAUGUCUAAUGAAGAGAGUCCACGGCUACACUUGAAUCCCAGUUAUCUGUGAGGUUCAUUACAAUUCUUGGUUUCUUAAGCAUGCUUGGCCCACUUCAGAGUAAUCUUCCACUUUAGAAGUAGCAGGGAUGGAAUAGUCAUGGGGUUAGUCAUGUGAGGGAUAGAAAGUACUUAGGUUGAAAAUGAGUAAGAAUGAGUUUACAAGUAUUCACAAGAGAGUUCAAGGGAUCUUUUAUACAAAGGUAUAGUGUAGAAAAGUCACAUUCAGAGUGGCUAAACAACUUAGAAAAAGAAAUUGUGGUAGGUCAUUUGUUGACAAGUUAAACAUAAUGACAGAUUAAUCCAGAUCGAAGAAAAUAGAAGUGGACUGACAAUCAACAUUGUUAUUUAAACAGUGUGGCUUUUAAUCCUGAAUUUUAACCUUUAUUGACUUUAGUUCAAAACAUUAUUUCUUCGCCAUAUUUUAAAAUUUAUUUCUUUCAUAUUUUAAGAUCAUAUCCCUCCCCUCUUUCUCUCUCUCAAAACCCACAUAUCUUUUACUGCUUUUUCAAAUCAAAAGCCUCUUUUUAAAAUUACUUUUUGGUAUUUGACACUUGCAGAAGUUUGGGGCAAAAGAGAAUCAAAGAAAACCAGGCUUUCAGGCUUCUAAAGGUCUUGUUGAUGGUUUAUAAAAGACUUUGGAUAACCAUUGCAGUUCCUGUUGUCUGGUGUUUAAGGUGUUGAGGCAGUCAUGCAAAGGGUUCAGAUAAUUUAAGGGUUGGUAGUAUUUCUAAUUACACUCUUUUUAUCCUUCUCUGAUACUGUCAAACAACCAGCUAUGAUUUGGAGUCUUAUCUAAAUGAAAUAUCAAUAUAAGAAAAACAUCAUAGAUAGAUAAAUCAAUUGAUCAUUUGAUAGAUAGAUGGAGGCAUAGUCAUAAGUAUAAAUUUAGGUAUAGAUAUAGAUGUUAUACUUUAUUAUGUUUAAUAAUUUUAUUAAUUUGUGUUAUCCUUCUGUCACUGUUGCCAUCUGCAAUUUUUAUGUCACUGUGUCUGUAUUUCCUUGCCAUUUGGAGUUAGGUAAUCUAAGCUGGAUUCUUAAUUUUCUCUUUGUUUAUGCCUAUAAUCAGUAAUUGUUUUCAUUAAUGAUUUGACGAAAUGUGGGAAAAUUCAUGUGCACCAUAAAACUUCUAGCCUCUUGUCAGGAGAUCCUAUCCCAGUGGUGAUAAUGAAGAAUUUAGUAUGUUGUUGACCACUGAUUAAAAGAUAUCUGAAGAUACACGAAGCAUUGUUAUCUCAACAUGUAUAUAUAGAAAUGAAUUCAGAAUUAUGAAGAUGCAACUCUAAAACAUGCCUAUUGCAUUAGAUUUAAGUUUGAUUUAAUGCUUAGUACUAUGAUUCAAUUUUCUGGGUAUUAUUGCCUUAUGAUAUUUUAAUUUCUUAAGAUGUGUCUUUUGACAUAAUCUUUCACAUGAGACAAACAACUAAGUACAAAUGAUACUGUGUGCAUAUUUGGAUAAUUAUAGUCUUUUCUGAACUCUUUAUGCCAUUUUUCAUUCAUUUUCCAAGAAAUAUAUUUUAACAAAAAUUUAAAAUCAUAGCUUUCACAUUUAUUCAUAUAUUAGAUAUUUGCCACAGUGUUCUAUAAAUUUUUGUUCACAGUUCUUUCCCUAUGCCUUAGGUUUUAGCCAGAAACCUUUUAAAAUUCAUCAUUAAUCUGGUGAUGCAUAUUGGUUUUCACCCUGUUGAUCCUCUUCAGUUUUAUUCUGUCUUAUGUUUAAUUUUACUUUGUCAGGAUACUUGAUUUUAUAGUGUUCUUUUUCCAAAUAAUAUUUUAGGAGUAAGUUUCAUGAAAAUGAAAUUUCAAGAAUUCAGGAAUUUAAUGCUAUAUGCUUUGAAAAUAGUACACAACUUCAAGUAGAAAUUAUCAAAAACAGUAAUGUGUCAUCCUAUGGGAUUGUAGCAUGCAUCUUUCCAGACUAUAUCAUCCUUAGCUAAGUAAAACUCUGAAUUCUACCAAAGUGGGAUAGUCUUAUGUGUUCUUGAAUUUCAUAUACAUGGAACCACCAUGGAAUAAAAUUUUGGUAAAGAUCUUUUCCCAAUCUGUUGGUUGCCAUUUUGUCCUAAUGACAGGGUCCUUUGCCUAGAGAAGCUUUAAAAUUUUAUGAGGUCCAAUUUGUUGAUUCUUGAUCUUGGAGCAUAACCCAUUGGUGUUCAGUUCAAGACAUUUUCCCCAGUGCCCAUGUGUUCAAGGCUCUUCCUUGUAUUCUUCUAUUGGUUUGAGUGUAUCUGUUUUCCGUGGAGGAGAUCCUUGAUCCACAUGGACUUGAGCUUUAUACAAGGCAAUAAGAAUGAAUUGAUUUUCAUUUUUCUACAUGCUGACCUCCAAUUGAACCACCACCAUUUGCUGAAAAUGUUAUCUUUUUUCCAUUGGAUGGUUUUAGUUUCUUUAUCAAAGAUGAAGUGACCAUAGGACUGUGGGUUCACUUCUGUGUCUUCAAUUCUUUUCCAUUGAUCUACUUACCUGUCUCUGUACCAAUCCCAUAAAGUGUUUUUUAAUUUUUUAUUAGGUAUAUUUCUUCACUUACAUUUCAAAGGUUAUUCCCCUUCAUGGUUUCCUGUCUAUAAGCCCCCAUUCCUUCUCCCUCCCCCUCCCCCAUACAGGUAUUCCCCCUAUACAUUCCCCUUAUUGCUUCCCCAUAUUCCCCUACACUGGGGGUCCAACCUUGGCAAGACUAAGGGCUUUCUCUUCCACUGGUGCCCCAACAAGGCUAUUCUCUGCUACAUAUGCAGUUGGAGCCCUGGGUCAGUCCAUGUGUAGUCUUUCAUAGUGGUUUAAUCCCCGGAAGCUCUGAUUGAUUGGCAUUGUUGUUUUUAUGGGGUUGCAAGUUCCUUCAACUCUUUCAAUACUUCCUUUAAUUCCCACCCAAGGGGGUCCUAUUCUCAGUUCAGUGGUUUGCUGCUAGCAUUAACCUCUGUAUUGUACAUGCUCUGGAUGUGUCUCUCAGGAGAGAUCUAUAUAUAGUCCCUUUCAGCAUGCAUUUUUUAGCUUCAUCAAUCUUAUCUAGUUUUGGUGGAUAUAUAUAUAUGGGCCACAUGUGGGUCAGGCUCUGAAUGGCCAUCCUUGAGUCGCUGCUCUAAACUUUGCAUCCAUAUCCCCUCCUACGGAUAUUUUCCCCCUCCCAUACAGUUUUUAAUCACAUUUGCUCUGUAAAACAAUUUGAGGUCAGAGAUGGUUAUUCCCCAGAAGUUCUUUAUUGUUAAUGAUAGUUUUUGAUAUCCUGGGAUGUUUUUAGUCCAAAUGAAUUUGCAAAUUGCUCUUUCUGACUCUAUGAAGAAUUGAGUUGGAAUUUUGAUGGGGAUUGCAUUGAAUUUGUAUGUAGAUUGUUUUUGGCAAGGUGGCUAUUUUUACUAUAUUAAUCCUGCCUAUCCAUGAGCAUAGAAGAUCUUUCCAUCUUCUGAGAUUUUCUUCACUUAUUUCUUCAGAGACUUGAAGUUCUUGUCAUACAGAUCUUUCACAUGCUUGGUUAGAGUCACACUGAGGUACUUUAUAAUAUUUGUGAAUGUUGUGAAAGCUAUUAUUUCCCUAAUUUUUUCUCAGUCUGUUUAUCCUUUGGGUAGAGGAUGGUUACUGAUUUGUUUGAGUUAAUUUUAUAUCCAGACACUUUGCUGAGGUUGUUUAUCAGGCUUAGGAGUCUGGUAGAAUUUGUGGGGUCAAUUAAGUGUACUAUCAUCCGAUAUAGGGCUAAUAUACAAUAUAUACAAAGAACUCACGAAGUUAGAUUCCAGAGAAACAAAUAACCCUAUUAAAAAUGAGAUACAGAGCUAAACAAAGAAUUCUCAACUGAGGGAUACUGAAUGGUAGAGAAGCAUCUAAAGAAAGGUUCAAGAUCCUUAGUCAUCAGAGAAAUGUAAAUCAAAACAACCCUGAGAUUCCACCUCACACCAGCCAGAAUGGCUAAGAUAAAAGAACUCCUGAAAAAAAGAUGCUGGCAGGGAUGUAGAGAAAGAGGAACACUGAUGGUGGAAUUGCAAGCUGGUACAACCACUCUGGAAAUCAGUUUGGAGGUUCAUCCAAAAAUUGGACAUAGUACUACCUGAAGACUCAACUAUAUUAUUCCUGGACAUAUUCCCAAAAGAUAAUCCAACAUAUAACAAGGACACAUGCUCCACUAUGUUCAUAACAGCCUUAUUUAUAAUGGCCAGAAGCUGGAAAGAACCCAAAUGUCCCUCAACAGAGGAAUGGAUACAGAAAAUGUGGUACAUCUACACAAUGAAGUACCACUGAGCUACUAUAAACAAUGACUUCAUGAAAUUCAUAGGCAAAUGGAUGGAUCUAGAAAAUAUCAUCCUGAGUGAGGUAACCGAAUCAUAAAAAGCACACAUGGUAUGCUCACUCAACUCACUGAGAAGUGGAUAUUAGCCCAAAAGCUUGGAUUACCCAAGAUACAAUCCAUAGACCAUAUGAAGCUCAAGAAUUAGGAUGGCCAAAGUGGGAAUGUCUCAGGCCUUCUCAGAAGGGAGAACAAAAAUGUUCAUAGAAAGAGAUAGGGAGAGAAAGUUUGGAGCAGAGACUGAAGGAAAAGUCAUCCAGAGACUGCCCCAACUAGUAUCCAGCCCAUAUACAUACAGUCACCAAACCCAGACAAUGUUGUUGAUGUCAAGAAGGGCAAGCUGACAGGAGUCUGAUAUAGCUGUCUCUUAGAGGAUCUGCCAGAUCAUGAUAAAUACAGAGGCAGACUGCUCUCUGGCAGUCACUGAACUGAGAACGGGGUCCCCUUUGGACAAGUUGGAGAAAGGAUUGAAGGAGUUAAGAGGUUUGCAACCUCAUAAGAACAACAGUGUCAAACAACCGGAGUUCCCAGGGACUAAACCACUACCCAAAGACUACACAUAGACAGACCCACGGCUUCAACUGCAUAUGUAGCAGAGGAUAGCCUGUUAGGCGCCAAUGGGAGGAAAAGCCCUUGGUCCUGCCAAGGCUUAACACCUCAGUGUAGGGGAAUAUUAGGGCGUGGAGGCAAGAAUGGGUGGAUGGGUUGGUAGUAAAACACCCCGAUAGAAGAAGGGGGAAGUGAGAUGGGAUAGGGGGUUUAAGGACUGGGAACCAGGAAAGGAGAUAACAGUUGAAAUGUAAAUAAAUAAAAAAAUCCAGUAAAAAAUUUAAAAAAAAGAAAUCAAUUUUUGACAGGGUGUCUGUGUGUAAAGUUUUACUUGCUGGUUGUGAUUUUGUCUUAUGGAUAUAACUAACUGUUGAUUCACAUUUUAAUAGAAAUAUGAAACUUUCUGGUUGUCAACUUUUGUGAAUAAAUACAAAAUAAAUAUUCUUGAUCCUCUGUCAUUUGCGAGUAAAUACUUUUCCCUAUGUUGGAGAAAUGCUCAAUGAAAACACUGUUUAUCAUGAGAAAGAGAUAACUUAAUUAUAUAAGACACUGCUGAUUUUCUUUCUUCAAAUGUCUCUAUGAGCUCAUACGUGCCUCGCUUAGAUUAUUCAGAUGGUCUGGUUCUCCUGGUGACCUCCAUUACCUCUAGCUCCUACAAUCUUUCCAUCUCCCCCUCAGCCGGAUUCUCUAAAGUCUACAGCUCCUCUUUCUACCCCAUGCUUUCUAGUGUCUACAGGUGUUCACUGCCGCUGUGUUCAUGAUUACAUUCAUACUGUUAAUUUUUAAACUGGAAACAAUUCCCAUCCUAUUAAGUAUAAGUCACUGGAUUAUCUAAAUUUUUGACAAGGUAUUGUUCUAUGAACAGCAUAAACUCAUAGUAACUGAAUUCUUAUUUCUGCUAUAUUUAAUAUUUGAAACCUGAAAACAUAUUAAAGACAAUAUAUGCACACAUGUUCACACUUAUGUUCAUUCCCAAUUCUAUGCACUAGGUGCCUUUUGUCUUUUCUACUUCCAUUAGAAUGAAUUUUUUUCAGUUAUGUUAUUCGGUUGAAUCGUUUAUAUUCUAUUUGUCGGUAGAGCAUUUUCUCAGUUGGAAUUUAGUCAUGAUGCAGUAGCAAAGAAUUAAAAAGAACAAAACCAGUUUACUGACACAAGUACAGUCUCAAACACAGAACAGGAGAAGAAAAUAGUAAUAGUAGAUCUAGAUCAUGCGUCAUACCCCCAAAUAAAUUUCACAUGAUGAUGAUGAUGAUGAUAAUAAUAAUACGUUCCAUAAUAUUUCCAUGUUCCAAAUCCAAACUUCAUUUUUAUAAUUGAAAUAUUUGAAAAAGAAAAAUGUAUUAGAUUAUUUAUACAUUUUUUUCUCAGCAUGGUUUCUUUUCAGGUUUCGAAUUUUUGUUCCCAGGUAGCAGCAGUACAGGACAAAUGUUCAGGGUUAAACACCGAUGUUCAUUUGGACACCACAUAUUCAACCUAGAAUUAAUAUGAAACUUCUAAAAAACCUAUCAUACAAUAAAACUUACCUGAAAUAUUGUUAUUUCAAGAUUUCAUUAACUUUAGGCAAUUUUCUUUAAUACCAAAAGUGUGAAUAAAAUAUUCAUUGCAGCAGGCCAUUUAUUUUUUAAUAGAGUUGGAAUGUGUUACCCUCCUAUCACACUUUCAGUGACCUCUGUGCUGCUAUAAAUGCAACCAACUAGAGGUAACAGAAGAAAGAGCGGCAAGAGUAUACUUGGCUGUGUGUUUUAGAAAUCUCAUUGCUUCAUUAUGCUGUAUUUCACUUUGGAUCUUAAUCCUACAUAAUAUAUUUACUAUACAUGUGAUUGGGAAAUGGAUUUGAAUGUAUAUGAUUUAGAUUGCACACAUAGGUAUAUAACUAUAUAUAACUAUAUAUAACUAUAUAUAUAACUAUAUAUAGUGUAUAUGUAUUUAUAUGCACAUAUAAAUAUCCUCAUGAAUAUGUAAUAAAACAGAUAUGAAAAUGUAGGUGUUAUAAGUAUGUUUCUUCUAAAUAACUUUUCACAUAUUUGAAGGCAAUGAAUGUCUAAGUAGAAAUUUCUGGUUAUAUGUCCUCUUCUAUCAGAACUUUAAAAGUAUUAUUGUUCAUUCAUAAACUCAUUAAGUGUUUUAGUGCUGUGUUUUCAUGGGUUCACGAUAUAGUUAUACAUAGAAGAAUUAAAUUUAGGCUGGUGUGUGUGUGUGUGUGUGUGUGUGUGUGCGUGUGUGUGCUUGCAUAUGUGCAUGUGCAAAUACAUAUGUGUGUAUGUUAUUUGUUAUUGUUUAUGCCGAAUCAGUUGAUUCAAAUGCUCCCAUUAGCUGGCUACAGUGAUUAUAUCACUCUCAUACAUGCUCAUGUUUUCAAUAAUCUUCAUGCAUUAUUACCUCAUUAAAUUUUUUUUAGUGUUGGUUGUUGAAAUAUAACAUAUUGGGGUCAGCAAACAAUGAAGAGAAAGAAAAGUAAAAAGAUUCUCUACUUAUUUCCUCUUUCAUUGUGCAUUUCCACUUUUUAUAGCUCAUGUAAGGAAUAAAAAAAAUUAAACAUCUUGAUAUCAUUUUGUGUAUUAUAUUAGCUCAGGAUGAGAUAUUUUAAAAAAAUCAUUAAGGGAACACUUACUCGGAAAGAAACUGUGAUCUGAUCAGCUCUUACUUUUGAAACUUCACACACUCCUCAUGAAUCCAGCGGGUAAAAUAGACACAAAGGAAAUUUUAAUAAAUUUGACUUUUAUACUGUGAUCAAGUCAUUUCAAUUAUGUUCUUAUUUCCAAGGGCAUUCACACUUGCUGUACUCAUUAAAUUAUAUUAGUUCUGAAAGAGUCUUGUGAAAAUGGAACAGGUUUUAGUUGUUAAUCCAUGAACAUAAACAUCUUUCAUGUCCUUACUUGUAUAAAGAAUCCAUAAGAACUCUAUGGACCAUCUGUCUGUCUUUCUAUCAAUUUACUACUUAACUUCUCAUUUCAAUAUACCCCUAUAUCCUGUGCUCCCAAGAUUCUCAGUAAAGACAUCAUAAGUAGCAAAGCGUUCUGAAACAUAUGCAUAGAAUGUUUUACUUUUAUUUAACUAAUAUCUAGUAAUGAUCUUAGAAUACUUAAGUAUUUUAUAAUUGUACACCUAGCUUUUUACCAAUUGCUUAGAAAAAAAUCAUUAUUAUUAAAGUAUACUUUUAAAAGUUGUUCAUCUAUUUUUUAAUAAACAUAAUUUAUAUUUAUUUUAUUUAAUAUCUUGCCAACGAGUCAAAUUAAAUUAUAUGUUUAUUUUAAUAUGAUAAGCAGAAUAAACAUAUAAACCCAAAUAAUACCAUUAUUAAAAUGUAUGUGUUAUACACCACACAUGAAGAAUGGUCAGAAGAAUACAAAAGGGAUGAGAGACAAGAAAGAUAAAGACUAGAAAGGGUAAGAAGGAAGGAAGGGAAAUGGAUACUUCAGAGUGUAUGGAAAAAGAAAAGUUAAGAGUCUGGAGUAAGGCGUAAGGGAGAGGAGAAGAGAGAGGUGAGGGGCAUGUUCAUAGUCUUCAAUGGUUCUUCUACUAAUAUUCCUGGCAAGAAUUUGCAAUGUUCUCUUCAUUUCACAUUUUCACCAACUCAUUAACUUCCAUUAUCUUGACAAGUCCAUUUUGGCAGGUGCGAGGUGGUACCAUAUUCAGGUUUUAAUUUCCAUUUUUCCAAACGAUUAGUACUGCUUAGCCUUUUUAUAUAUUUACCGACUAUAUUUAUAUUGUAUUUUUACAAUGUUGAAAUUGUUUGUUUGAGUGCUUUGCUCAGUUUUCAACCAGUACAUUUGUAUUCUCAGUGUUUUUGGUAUAAACACAUAAUAGUAUGUGACCCAGCUAUUGCCUAAAAUAUUGAAGAUCAUUAUGCUAAAGAUAUAGAGAUAUUUCCCACACUCCUUGCAUCAUGUUUAUAAAAGCCAAGUGAUAGAGUCAAUCCUAAUUGUAAAAUGGAAACAGAUAGUUCCUGAAUGGAUAAUCAAAUGCUAUGUGUGUAUAUUAUAUAGUAUUUUAGGGCUAAACUCCUGAUACCAGGCAGCUGAGCCUGGAAUACAUCUUUUGUUUUAUUUAUUUUUUUAUCUUUUUCAUUUUUUUAUACUCCAGAUCUUGUUCCCCUCCUGGCCCACCCCCCUCCAACUGUUCCACAUCUCAUACCUCAUCUCCCCUCACUGUCUCCACAAAGAGACCCUACUGACUCCACCAGACCUCUAAACUUCCUUGGGCCUCCAGUCACUUGAGGGUUAGGUUCAUCUUCUCUGACUGAACCCAGACCCAGGAGUGCUCUACUGUAUGUGUGUUGGAGGUCUCAUCUCAGCUGGUGUACGCUGCCUGGUUGGUGUUCCAGUGUCUGAGAGAUCUCAGGGUCCAAGUUAACUGAGACUGCUGGUUCUCCUACAGGGUUGCCCUCCUCUUCAACCUCCUCUAGUUUUUCCCUAAUUCAACCAGAUGCGUCAGCAGCUUCUGUUCAUUGGUUGGGUGCACAUAUCUGCAUCUGACUCUUUCAGUUGUUUGUGUGGGUCUUUGGGAGGGCAGUCAUGAUAGGUCUCUUUUUGUGAAGGCCCAAUAGCCUCGGAUAUGGUAUCAGGUCUUAGGGCCUCCCCUUGAGCUGGAUCCCACUUUGGGCCUUUUUGCUCUACCUCCUUUUCCUUGAGCUCUUCUCCAUUUCCUUCCCUGCAGUUCUUUCAGACAGGAAGAAUUAUGGGUCAGAGCUUUGACUGUGGAAGAGCAACCCCAUGACUAACUUGAUGCCCUGUCCUUCUGCUGGAGAUCGGAAAUGCAAGUUAUGCCUGGGGCUCAUCACUCUAAGGAAGGAAGAGACGCAUCAACAAAUACUGUGUGCUCUCCUUGUCCAGAAUCUGAAGCAAUGGAAUUCAGAUAAGCAGAGUAUGGAGGUGGUGAAUAAAGGCUGAGAUGGUGAGAAAAAUAGUUCAACUUGGCUUGCAGAAUCAGUCUUAUGAGCUGUGAGUCUUGAAGUAGUGAUUUGAGUUACAACAAUACGCAUUGAAUGCAUUGUGUACUUCAAACUAGCUAGGAGUAAAAUUUCAAGGUUCUUGCAGUAGCGCCUAAUGAGUAUUUGAGAAGGGGGGAGUGUUAACCAUCUUCACAACAUUAAUGUACCAUGUGUUAUCAAUAUUUAUCUAUAUAGGUGUAUGUAUCUGUGUGUGUGUGUGUGUGUGUGUGUGUGUGUGUGUGUGUGUGUGUGUGUAGUUUCCUAAGGACCAUCAUGAAGGGUGGAGUGGAUGUACAGGGAGAACAUCAAUGCAGAAUGCAGGACUAAUUGUUUAAUAGUAAAAGAUUUUGUAAGACUUGUUUGCUUGUUUGUUUGUUUGUUUGGAUUGGAGAACUUUUAGUUAACAUAGUGAUUUCUGGGCAUCAGUGUAACUAUGGCGUAUUAACCCCAACAUACUUACUAUGACCAGCCUAUUAACAAAUGACUGAAGUUAUUAUAGACCCUCAAAUUGGAGGAAAUUGCAGGUAUACUGCAGCCAGUCAAGAGGUAGCCGGGACUUACAACAGAUUAUUAGAGGCAAACUGUAAAAAGGCAGACUUUUUUUUUAAUAAUAGACACAAAGAUUCGUUAGUGGAUCUGGUGUGCAAACAAAAUGCAAUAAAGGUUCACAGAAAAGUGGAGAAAAAUGAACUUGCUAUCACCGAAGAAUCUGAAGGUUGAAGUUUCAAGUAAAAGCAGGUUUUGAAAUAAAAGUAAGAUUCAAGACUUCUCAUUUAGAUAUAUAAAAAUUGAAUGGUAAAUUGAAUAUUCAUAUGAAAAUCUGUUGGGCAAUUAGUAAAAUGAAUGUGGAAUAUUGAGGAAAAGACAAAAUGAAAAUACAAACUGUAUUUAAUCUUCACAUUAUAGGUAAUGGAAGGAGUUGAAAUUAGCAGAGAAAUAAAUGUCAAUCAAAAGUUGUCAUACGUCUGAAAUUUGAUAUUAUAAAACUAUGAUUAAGGAAAUAAAAGUAAACUGACAUUGGGAUUUAGUAAUCAAAUGAUAAGGAAAACUCCCAAGUAGCAGAAAUACCUAAGGUUAGAAAUAGCUAUGUCUGUGAAAGAAACUGCAUGAGGAGAACACUGAAGACACACCUCAGGAAACUAAGAAUUAAUGCUGGAUAUGGGCUUAUCACUUUAAGAGGGGCACAUGAGAUCUUAAAGAACACUUUCAAAGAUUUUAGUGGCAUAAACCGAUAAACAUGGGUAGAAAAAUAAUUGCUGACAUAGAAAAUAUAACCAUGAAUGGAUUCAUUUUGUUGAAGUCUAGCAAAACACCUUGAUCUUGACACUUGAUCAAGAACAGAAAUUUAUUCUCUCUGGUUCGGAAGCUCAGAAGUUUAGUCUCAACUUGCUAGCAUCUUACCAUUUCCUAGCACUAUUCUCAGGUGGAGGAUUUGGAGUUCCAAACGGGAAGUCAACUGUCUUUUGGGGCCACUUUUUUUCCUCACUGUUUGUUUGAUUUUCUAUGACUUGUUAUUGUUUGUUUGCCUGUUUAUUUUCCAAAAAGAGAGAAAGAAAGUAAAAGAUAAGAAAGGAGGAAAGAAAGAAACAAAGAAACAAGGAAGCCAAGGGUAAAACAACGAAGCGAGGAAAGGGUAUGGAAUGGAAUUGGGAGAGUAGGAAGGCAUUAGUGGGGGUUGGGAGAGUGGUAAUGAAGAGCAGACUAUAUUGUAUAUUGUAUAUUUUAUAUGGUAUAUUUUAUUAAACUGAUAUUCUAUAUUGAAAAACAAAAUUUUCAAUUAUAAACAGGGAGGAGGAAUUUUUUGUCCUAACAUUGCUGAAGGGCUGAAGAGAAAAAUCCCAUUUCCCCAAUACUUCCCUCCUUUACCUCACCCUGCCCUUCCCUCUCCUCCUCCCUGUUGUGCGUCUUCUCCCUGCAUCUCUUUUAAUUGUUAGAGAGUGUCAUAGCUCAGGAUGGCUUGAACCAUCUCUGUAACCUAGGAUGACAUUCGGUUCCCUGUACCAGUCAAGGGAUGACUUUGCAAGGAGGCAGCAUCAUAAUGACCGGCAAGUUCCUUUUUCCAGUAGCAUCUAUCCUUUUAUAAAGGUGUUGCUCUAAGGGUUUCUAUGCUUUCUGUUAGCCUCUGUUGCCCAAAACUAUUCUUCUGAGGCUUAACUUUUCAAUUCCUGAAGUUGAGAAGGAUCCAGAAUGCGCAGGCUAUAACAUAUUUUCAAGAUAUUUUUCUAUUACACAAAAGACUUGACAUUUGUUUUGUAGUUAAGAUAGUGACUGCUCCAGCGUUUCUGUAUUAUGUGGCCUUUGUUCUUUGUUAACUAAAUGAAUUCUUUGCUGCAAACAAGACAGAAAAUAAGAAAGCACUCAUAUGGCUGAAUUAACAUGCAUUAUGCUUCUAUAAAGUAGAGUAUCAGGCUUCAUCUAUGAAUUGGAGUUUGCCUAUGUUUGUCUACAGAAGAUAAUUAAGGGACACUAACAACACCAUGUUCAGAAUACAGUAGGAAAUUCAUUAACUAGUAAUAAGUUCUUGAAAGUGUUCCUUUAAUAAUGGAAUAUUGCUAGAAUUACCUUUCUUCACUUUAAUUAUGUUAUCAGUAAUAAAGCUUAUUUUCUUAUAACUUACUUGCCAUGAUUUCGAUGGUUAUAAUUCAAAAAAUAAUCCAAUUAUGUCAGUAACAGGUAGCUUAGAGCUUAACCAUGAGCUUUAUGUGGCCUGAGAAAGAGAACAAAAUUAUUAUUUCUGUUAGUAAUAUUUGUUCUCUGUAUUUCUUAUGGUAAUAGGCUUUUAAGUAUUUGACUUUCUGUAAGUUAUUUUUUGGCUGAAUGGCACUUUUUGAGUGUAUGCAUUUUUAUUAAAGAUUAAGCAUGCUGAGUGAAAGGAGCAAGUCAAAAGAAAGGGUGACAAAAAAUGAGAAGGAUCUUCUAAAAGUGUCCAUUCCCUGCAAUAGCAUAAGUUGCUUUCCCAAUCAACUCUUAGGUCAUUGUUAAUUAUGGCUGGCAAAAGCUUCAAGACUAUAAUUCAAAUGCAAAUUUUUCAUGAUCGGAAAUUCUGAUCAAAUUACAUGGUUUCAUAGAAAAGGUUAAAAUAGCACAAAUUACUUGGCUGUGUAUACUACUUAAUCACAAAUUUCUGGACUUUUGUGUAUAGCAAUAGUUUAAACUUCAUCAUUUUAUGGUUGUUUGGACUUUCUACCCAUCUUUGUGGAUUUUCUAUCAAUGUGCCAAAUUCCUGAGACAGACAGGAUGAUUUGUAAAGAAUAGGGAUUUAUUUGUUUCACAGUAUUGGGAAGUUUGAGAGUGAGAAAGAGAGAGAGAUCUUGUAGAGACCUUCAUAUUGCUUCAUGUUAUAUGAGGAAGAGGAAGAACAAGUGACCAUAUAAGAUCUAGAAUGAUGCCCAAGUCCAUCUUUUUUCCCCAAGUACUCAACUAUGCUGGUAAUGACAAAAAAUUUAAAAAAUUAAAGUACCACUGUUUGUGCUGUGUGUGUGAAUUCAUUUGCACUCAUCCAUGUAUAGUGUCUAGUGUUCCAUUUUCUCAUUCUAUGCCUUAUUGCUUUGAGACAGGGUUUCUCACUAAACCUAGACAAGGUUGGUUACAAGAGAGUCUUAGCAGUUAUCCUGUCUUAUACCCCAUGGCACUGGGGUCACACGUCUGCUGGUGGUCAGGUACUAAUUUUUAAAUGAGUCCUUAGAUUUCUUUGAAAUUUUUUUUACAAAAGUUAUUUUCAUGGGCAUUAUUAUUUCUGUUUUGUGUGUUUGGGUAUUUGUCUGUGCAUGAUAUAUAGUAUUACCUCAUUCCCUCAGAGGUCAGAGAGGUUAUUGGAUCCUGGAAGCUGAUAGGAGAGUUACAGAUGGUUGUAAGAAACCAAUGUUGGUGUUAGGAAUCGAGCCUUAAUGCAUUACAAUAAUAAUUACUGUUCUUACUACUAGGCAUCUCUCAAGCCUACUGUACCCAGGACUUCAACUUUAAAAUAUAGUCAGCAUGUUUAUAUUUUAAAGACAUCAACAUUUUAUGUAGAUACACAUGCAUAUAUAUGCAUAUAUAUAUAUUACAUAUACUAUUUAGUUUAUGUUAUCAUAAUAAUUACUUAAUUCCAUAAUUUAAAGUGAUUAGGUAAAUGUUAAAAGAGUCCUGUGACUGAACUCUAUAGAGGUAUAGAGGAGCAGUUAUAAGUAACGUUGUGGUUAAAAGUUUCCUAAAUGUUUCUAGAAAAUAGAUACAAUAUUUAUUUUAUCUUACAGAGAUUAUAUAUAAUAAAUGGAAAUAUUAUAAUCCAAGAAUAUCUACAGGAUAAUAUUGUAAGAUCUCAAUUAUAAAGUUUAAUGAGUUAUUGUUUAGUGUUCUACACUGUAAAAGAAAAAUAUAGCUUAAUUUAAAACCCUAAUAGACACUAUUAUUGAUAAAACAGUCUUGAACAAACCCAAAACAACAAUUGAUAUCUAUUCAAUAUUGGAAGUUCUCGUGUUUAUUUUCAUAUUAUACAAUAUCAGUUUAAUCAUAAAAUUGGAAGUUAUAAAAAAAUAUAAAGGUACGAAGAUUUCUUUUUAUAUUUUUAUUAAAAUAUUUUUUCUCACACAGGAACUCUGGUUAAUGUCUCCCCAGCCUUAACACUUCACAGAUCCUCCGCACCUGCUUACCCACCCAGAUCCACACUCUCUUGCUUUCUCAUAUUAGAAAACAAACAAGCAUCAAAGAAAAACAACUAAAACGUUACAAAUUAAGUAAAAUAAAAAUGAUCAAACUUGAAUAAUACAAAAAAAACAGCAAAAGGCAGAAGAAGCACAUAUAACCACACUAUUUAGGAACACAAAGAUACCACAAAAAAUCAAAUUGAAAACCAUGAUAUAUAAGCAAAAGAUCAAUAAAGCAGAAACAAACAAACAAAAAAGGCCCAGACAUAGCCUUAUGUGACAAAAUGUAUUUUUAAUGUUUGUGACACAUAGCUCAAGACAACUUCCAAAAAUAUUUCAGACUGAUCCCAUAGUUAAUGGUUAUUACUUUCCUACUAUACAGGAUACCUUGAAUUUGACCCUCGGCCACACAAAAAAAGUAAAAAAUAAACAAUAAAACCAUGGUGAAUAACAGAAGCAGAGCUUCUGGCCCUUGUAUUUCUCUUUUCUUGGUUUUUCAUUUACUUUCUGGUCUUCUUGCUACCUUUUUCACAUCCAAGUUUAUUCUCCUGUGCAACUGAAUUCUAGGUUCAAGGAUUACAUUCUUACCAUCUUCUAACAGAAGAAAAUUGUGUGUUUGUUUGUGUGUGUGUGUGUGUGUGUGUGUGUGUGUGUAUGUGUGUGUGUGUGUUACCUGAUCAUUGCUGAGAAAGUUCCUUUUAUUUGAUGGUUUUAUGGUUAAGGUAUGAUUGAAAUAUUUCCUAGUUCCUUGUUUUUUACUUUCCCUUUUGUGUAAUCUGUAAAACUAGAUAUAUUCUCAAAGAUAAUAAAUAGAAUAAGUGCCCUUACUUAACUUUUUAAUUGGGUUGUCAGUUUGAUAAAUAUUUUGUGCAUAUGCAUCCUUACAUAUAUACAAAUAUAUCUAUAUAUCUAUUCCCGUCCUUCAUGUUUACAGUAAUAUGUAUAUAGAUGUGUGUGUGUGUGUGUGUGUGUGUGUGUGUGUGUGUGUAGCAAAUUUUCACAAACUCCCAGGUACAUGGUUAUAUUGAAAAGUUAUACCAACCAAACAUUUAAUGUGAAAGAAUCAUAAUAAAUGUUAAAUAAUUUGGAGGUGUAUAUAAUUCAACUAUUUGUUAAAAAGAAGCAAACUGGGGGCUGGAGAGAUGGCUCAGUGUUUCAGAGCACUGACUGCACUUCCAGAGGUCCUAAGUUCAAUUCUCAGCAGCCACAUGGUGGCUCACAACCAACUGUAAUGAGAUCUGAUGCCCUCUUCGGUUGUGUCUGAAGACAGCUAUAGUGUACUUACAUAUAAAUAAAUAAGUCUUUAAAAAAAGAACCAAAUGGAUUUAACAGAUAUUUGUAGAACAUUGCAUCCUAAAUCAAAAGGAUAUACCUUCUUCUCACCACCUCAUGGAACCUUCUCCAAAAUUGACCAUAUAAUCUGUCACAAAACAGCCCUCAACAGAUACAGGAAAAUAGAAGUAAUCCCAUGCAUCCUAUCAGAUCACCACACACUAAGACUGGUCUUCUAUAACAACUAUAGUGACAGAAAGCCCACAUAUACAUGGAAGUUGAACAAUGCUCUACUCAAUGACAACUUAGUCAAGGAAGAAAUAAAGAAAGAAAUUAAAGACUUCUUAGAAUUUAAUGAAAAUGAAGGUACAACAUACCCAAACUUAUGGGACACAAUGAAAGCUGUGCUAAGAGGAAAACUCAUAGCUCUGAGUGCCUGCAGAAAGAAA